rnacentral:rRNA from 1 species
AGCAGUCGCCGCGGUAAUACGUAGGGUGCAAGCGUUAAUCGGAAUUACUGGGCGUAAAGCGUGCGCAGGCGGUUUUGUAAGACAGAGGUGAAAUCCCCGGGCUCAACCUGGGAACUGCCUUUGUGACUGCAAGGCUAGAGUACGGCAGAGGGGGAUGGAAUUCCGCGUGUAGCAGUGAAAUGCGUAGAUAUGCGGAGGAACACCGAUGGCGAAGGCAAUCCCCUGGGCCUGUACUGACGCUCAUGCACGAAAGCGUGGGGAGCAAACAGGAUUAGAUACCCCCGUAGUCCCUGUCUCUUAUAC